rnacentral:rRNA from 1 species
GACGAACGCUGGCGGCGUGCUUAACACAUGCAAGUCGAACGGAAAGGCCCUGCUUUUGUGGGGUGCUCGAGUGGCGAACGGGUGAGUAACACGUGAGUAACCUGCCCUUGACUUUGGGAUAACUUCAGGAGACUGGGGCUAAUACCGGAUAGGAGCUCCUGCUGCAUGGUGGGGGUUGGAAAGUUUCGGCGGUUGGGGAUGGACUCGCGGCUUAUCAGCUUGUUGGUGGGGUGGUGGCUUACCAAGGCUUUGACGGGUAGCCGGCCUGAGAGGGUGACCGGCCACAUUGGGACUGAGAUACGGCCCAGACUCCUACGGGAGGCAGCAGUGGGGAAUAUUGCACAAUGGGCGGAAGCCUGAUGCAGCAACGCCGCGUGCGGGAUGACGGCCUUCGGGUUGUAAACCGCUUUCGCCUGUGACGAAGCGUGAGUGACGGUAAUGGGUAAAGAAGCACCGGCUAACUACGUG